UCGGGAAUAUUGCGCAAUGGAGGAAACUCUGACGCAGUGACGCCGCGUAUAGGAAGAAGGUUUUCGGAUUGUAAACUAUUGUCGUGAGGGAAGAAAUUGACAGUACCUCAGGAGGAAGCUCCGGCUAACUAUGUGCCAGCAGCCGCGGUAAUACAUAGGGAGCAAGCGUUAUCCGGAUUUAUUGGGUGUAAAGGGUGCGUAGACGGGAAAUUAAGUUAGUUGUGAAACCCCUCGGCUUAACUGAGGAACUGCAACUAAAACUGGUUUUCUUGAGUACUGGAGAGGAAAGUGGAAUUCCUAGUGUAGCGGUGAAAUGCGUAGAUAUUAGGAGGAACACCAGUGGCGAAGGCGACUUUCUGGACAGUAACUGACGUUGAGGCACGAAAGUGUGGGGAGCAAACAGGAUUAGAUACC
rnacentral:rRNA from 1 species